rnacentral:rRNA from 1 species
CUACGGGUCGCUGCAGUGGGGAAUAUUGCACAAUGGAGGAAACUCUGAUGCAGCAACGCCGCGUGGAGGAUGACACUUUUCGGAGCGUAAACUCCUUUUAUAUAGGAAGAAGAUGACGGUACUAUAUGAAUAAGCGCCGGCUAACUCCGUGCCAGCAGCCGCGGUAAUACGGAGGGCGCAAGCGUUACUCGGAAUCACUGGGCGUAAAGAGCGUGUAGGCGGGUUGGAAAGUCAGGUGUGAAAUCCUAUAGCUUAACUAUAGAACUGCUUCUGAAACUCUUAAUCUAGAAUAUGGGAGAGGUAGAUGGAAUUUCUGGUGUAGGGGUAAAAUCCGUAGAGAUCAGAAGGAAUACCGAUUGCGAAGGCGAUCUACUAGAACAUUAUUGACGCUGAGACGCGAAAGCGUGGGGAGCAAACAGGAUUAGAUACCCCAGUAGUC